rnacentral:rRNA from 1 species
GGGGGGGGCCAGUGGGAAUAUUGCGCAAUAGGGGAAACCCUGACGCAGCAAUGCCGCGUGAGUGAGGAAGGCCUUCGGGUUGUAAAACUCUGUCAGAUGGGAAGAACAGCAGUUGGUCCAAUAGGCCAUCUGUUUGACGGUACCUUCAAAGGAAGCACCGGCUAACUUCGUGCCAGCAGCCGCGGUAAUAUGAAGGGUGCAAGCGUUGUUUGGAUUUAUUGGGCGUAAAGCGCGCGCAGGCGGAUUGAUAAGUCAGAUGUGAAAUCUCGGGGCUCAACCCCGAAAAUGCGUCUGAAACUGUUGAUAUAGAGUUAUGUAGGGGAGAAGGGAAUUUCGCAUGUAGGGGUAAAAUCCGUAGAGAUGCGAAGGAACACCAGAGCCGAAGGGGCUUCUCUGGGCAUACACAGACGGUGAGGCGUGAAAGCGUGGGUAGCAAACAGGAUUAGAUACCCUGGUAGUCCACGCCGUAAACGAUGAGUAUAUAGAUUUGGGGCCUCGUCCGCUUCAGAGUCGCAGCUAAC